GUGAAAGCACUCUCAAAAUAUCACCUUCAAAAUUUAUAAACCCUCUCUUCUUCGACAAUUAUCGUUCCUACCAUUAAAGUAUUACCAUGGCAUGAACUACUUGCGUUCUCUUGUAUUCUUCUCUCCUUCGUUCUUUAAUUUAACAAGAAAAAGACAACUAAGAUGGGGAUAUAUUGAGAAAUAAUCCCAGAAGCCCUAGCCAAAUCCAAAUCAAUCUCAUGGUGGUCAGGAUAUCUGCAGCUGAUGAUUUUAAAGUUCUUGAGGGAAGGGCUCACAUUACAAGAAAAGAUGGGAUGAUGACAUGGUUCCUCAAUUAAGAGCUCACAUACUGAUUCAUUAUAUAAAGUGAGAGAGGUGAGCAGAAGUGGGUGCUUCAGGAGUUGAAGGGUGAAGUGAUCACAAGCGUGAGAUGACCAGACGUGUAAACUUCUUGUUUUAAUAUUUAAUGCUGGACUUUUUCUUAGAAAAAACGGUACGACGAGCAGAAGCGCACUUUAAUAGCAUGUGUUCUCUUCUUCUUCUCUUCAUCAUGUCACUACAGUAAGAGGCUGGCAAUUUAUUUUUGUUCAAUUCUUGGUUGUAGUCAUAGAACUAUUUCUCUGCAUUGGUAGACUGUUUAUUGCACUGUUCUUUAUUUUUAUUCAUCUUGUUUUUCUCAUUUAAUAAAUUAAUGAAGCACCAUUAGGCAGUUUUUCUAAUUUUGUUUUUCCUCUUAACAGUAAUCAUAAAAAAAACAUGGACGACCCAUCGCGUUCAACAUUAUUUCUCAAGAGUUUUAAGGCAAGUAUCUACUUCAAAGUCAGUAACUAUUGAACCUUUUACCUUA